UACAGAGGGGGCAAGCGUUGUUCGGAAUUACUGGGCGUAAAGGGCGCGUAGGUGGCCUUCUAAGUUGAACGUGAAAUCCCUCGGCUUAACCGGGGAACUGCGUCUGAUACUGGAUGGCUUGAGUGUGGGAGAGGGAUGCGGAAUUCCAGGUGUAGCGGUGAAAUGCGUAGAUAUCUGGAGGAACACCGGUGGCGAAGGCGGCAUCCUGGACCAUUACUGACACUGAAAAGCGAAAGCCAGGGGAGCAAACGGG
rnacentral:rRNA from 1 species